UUCUAUGCUGACUCCCACAUACACGCCUGGCAGUUGAUGCCAGCUGUCAAUAAGAAGGCUCAGGUUUUUGCCACUCCAGAAGGCUGCUUGAGAGUCUUUACAACAUGCUAGCUGGCUUCCCCCGAAGUCAGUGGUCCCAAAGACAGCAAGGUGGAGGCAAGGUUAUCUUGAAGACUUGGCCUCAGAAGUAACAUGGCAUCAUUCCUGCUAUGUCUUAUCAGUUAUAUAGAGGGCUCUUUAGCACUUUGUAGGGGACACCCUUGCCUGUGACAAUCUCUGUUGCCAGCUGCGGAGAUAUACCUUGCAGGUUCUGCAUCUGUAAAGCAGACACAAGGCGGCCGGGCGUAGUGGCUCACGCCUGUAAUUCCAGCACUUUGGGAGGCCAAGGUGGGCAGAUCCCCCAAGGUCGGGAGUUUGAGAACAGCCUGACCAACAUGAAGAAACCCCAUCUCUACUAAAAAUACAAAAUUAGCCAGGCACGGUGGUCCGUGCCUGUAAUCCCAGUUACUUGGGAGGCUGAGGCAGGAGAAUGGCUUGAACCCAGGUGGCGGAGGUUGCGGUGAGUCGAGAUCGCACCAUUGCACUCCAGUCUAGGCAACAAGAGUGAAACUCUGUCACCAAAAAAAAAAAAAAAAAAAAAAAAAAAAAAGCAGACACAAGGCCACCUAUUGCUCUGUCAGCCUGAAAAUGGGAUGAUGUACAGAAAAAUACCCAGCAGAGGACCUGAAAGAAUUGAGCU